UACGAAGGGGGCUAGCGUUGUUCGGAAUUACUGGGCGUAAAGGGCGCGUAGGCUGUGCUGUAAGUCAGGCGUGAAAGCCCCGGGCUCAACCUGGGAAUUGCGCUUGAUACUGCGGCGCUGGAAGGUGGGAGAGGAUGGCGGAAUUCCCAGUGUAGAGGUGAAAUUCGUAGAUAUUGGGAAGAACACCGGUGGCGAAGGCGGCCAUCUGGCCCAUUUUUGACGCUGAGGCGCGAAAGCCGUUGG
rnacentral:rRNA from 1 species